UUUGGCUUUAAUUUUUCAGAAAAUACCAACCAAGUUUCUGAAUUAUUUGGAUAAAAAAUUGAUGAGGAAUGCAAUUCUAAUAGGCCCUUGUGGGGGCAAGUGGCAAGUGAGCAUAAUCAAGAGAGAAAAUGGAGUUUACAUGGACCAUGGUUGGUCAAAGUUUCUACAAGAAAACCUAGUUAAGCAUGAGGAUUUCUUGGUUUUCACAUAUGAUGGAAAUAAUAACCAUUUCAAGGUCCAAAUAUUUUGUAAAAAUGGAUGUGAAGCUCCAAAACCUAAGAAGAGUAGACCAACAACUUCAUGCCCUCAGAUUUCACCUGAAAAUGAAAGAUCAUAAAAAGAAUCGAAUAUUGGUAUUGAGUUUGUCAGAGAUUAUGUUACUUCUGCUCAAUUGCUCCUGCUGUGAAGAUCUUCACCUUUGAAAGUUUCUUAAUUAGUCUCUUAUUAGGAAAGUGUUGAGAAGUGAGUGUGCAUUCUUAUUUAAUUAAUUAGCUUUAAUCAAGUGUUUAACAUAGGAACUUUAUGUGAUGCAGUGUGUUUCCUAUGCAAGUUUUCUAAUUUU